rnacentral:rRNA from 1 species
GGAUGGCGACCGGCGCACGGGUGAGUAACACGUAUCCAACCUGCCGACAACACUGGGAUAGCCUUUCGAAAGAAAGAUUAAUACCGGAUGGCAUAGUUUUCCCGCAUGGGAUGAUUAUUAAAGAAUUUCGGUUGUCGAUGGGGAUGCGUUCCAUUAGGCAGUUGGCGGGGUAACGGCCCACCAAACCAACGAUGGAUAGGGGUUCUGAGAGGAAGGUCCCCCACAUUGGAACUGAGACACGGUCCAAACUCCUACGGGAGGCAGCAGUGAGGAAUAUUGGUCAAUGGACGAGAGUCUGAACCAGCCAAGUAGCGUGAAGGAUGACUGCCCUAUGGGUUGUAAACUUCUUUUAUACGGGAAUAAAGUUAGCCACGUGUGGCUUUUUGUAUGUACCGUAUGAAUAAGGAUCGGCUAACUCCGUGCCAGCAGCCGCGGUAAUACGGAGGAUCCGAGCGUUAUCCGGAUUUAUUGGGUUUAAAGGGAGCGUAGGCGGGUUGUUAAGUCAGUUGUGAAAGUUUGCGGCUCAACCGUAAAAUUGCAGUUGAUACUGGCGACCUUGAGUGCAACAGAGGUAGGCGGAAUUCGUGGUGUAGCGGUGAAAUGCUUAGAUAUCACGAAGAACUCCGAUUGCGAAGGCAGCUUACUGGAUUGUAACUGACGCUGAUGCUCGAAAGUGUGGGUAUCAAACAGGAUUAGAUACCCUGGUAGUCCACACAGUAAACGAUGAAUACUCGCUGUUGGCGAUAUACAGUCAGCGGCCAAGCGAAAGCAUUAAGUAUUCCACCUGGGGAGUACGCCGGCAACGGUGAAACUCAAAGGAAUUGACGGGGGCCCGCACAAGCGGAGGAACAUGUGGUUUAAUUCGAUGAUACGCGAGGGAACCUUACC